rnacentral:rRNA from 1 species
CACGUAGGCACCAAGCGUUGUCCGGAUUUAUUGGGCGUAAAGAGCUCGUAGGCGGUUCAGUAAGUCGGGUGUGAAAACUCAGGGCUCAACCCUGAGCUGCCACCCGAUACUGCUGUGACUUGAGUCCGGUAGGGGAGUGGGGAAUUCCUGGUGUAGCGGUGAAAUGCGCAGAUAUCAGGAGGAACACCGGUGGCGAAGGCGCCACUCUGGGCCGAGACUGACGCUGAGGAGCGAAAGCGUGGGUAGCAAACAGG